AAAAAAAAGAUUUUGAUCUCCUCGACCAAGCAGGAAUUGGAACAUGACAUAAUCGGUGGAAAAAUAAAACCAAACAGGAUGCUUCUGUUAUUGAAUCCUGGCUAUAUGCCAAAAUUGAAAGAGGCACUGAAAGCGAGGAUGUCAGUUUCUGAUUAAAAAGAGGCAUGCACAUUUUAUUAUGUUCUUGAUGUUGAUGGUAGAUAAUGUUGGCGGUGCUAACAUUGAAUGUUUUUUUUUUUUUUUUUGUGCUACAGACAAUUGCUCUUUAUGAUAAUAUCAAGAGUGCCUUGAAGAUGGAGAUGAAUCCUCAGAAUACUAAGUUACUCCUAGAUCUGUUAGAUCCUGAGAUCAUAAUUAUAAUUUUAGAAACCCAUGAAGGAUUUUGCAGAUUUCAGUCAGCAUUAGCAUCGGCAGGUCCAAUAUGAAAGAUCUUAAAUAUACUGUGAUUGAAAUAAAAACAUUGCAAAACA